rnacentral:rRNA from 2 species
AAAUUGAAGAGUUUGAUCAUGGCUCAGAUUGAACGCUGGCGGCAGGCCUAACACAUGCAAGUCGAACGGUAACAGGAAGCAGCUUGCUGCUUCGCUGGCGAGUGGCGGACGGGUGAGUAAUGUCUGGGAAACUGCCUGAUGGAGGGGGAUAACUACUGGAAACGGUGGCUAAUACCGCAUAACGUCGCAAGACCAAAGAGGGGGACCUUCGGGCCUCUUGCCAUCAGAUGUGCCCAGAUGGGAUUAGCU